UACGGGGGGGGCAAGCGUUGUUCGGAAUUACUGGGCGUAAAGGGCUCGUAGGCGGCCAACUAAGUCGGAUGUGAAAUCCCCAGGCUUAACCUGGGAACUGCAUCCGAUACUGGAUGGCUUGAAUCCGGGAGAGGGGAUGCAGAAUUCCAGGUGUAGCGGUGAAAUGCGUAGAUAUCUGGAGGAAUACCGGUGGCGAAGGCGGCAUCCUGGACCGGCAUUGACGCUGAGUGAGCGAAAGCUAGGGGAGCAAACGGG
rnacentral:rRNA from 1 species